AACGAACGCUGGCGGCAUGCCUAACACAUGCAAGUCGAACGAUACCUUCGGGUCUAGGCGCGCACUUGUGCGUAACGCGUGGGAACCUUCCCUUAGGUUCGGUAUAACUUCCCGAGAGGGGUGCUAAUACCGGAUAAUUUCUUCUGCCCAAAGACUUAUCGCCUCAGGAUGGGGCCGCGUUGGAUUUGCUAGUUGGUAGGGUAAAAGCCUACCAAGGCGAAGAUCCAUAGCUGGUCUGGUAGGAUGAUCAGCCACACUGGGAGUGAGACACGGAGCAGACCCGUAGGGGAGGAAGAAGUGGGGAACAUUGGACGAUGCGCGAGAGAAGAAGCUAGCAAGGCCGCGUGAGUGAGGAAGGAGUUAGGAUUGUAAAGCUGUGUGAAACGGGAUGAUAGUGACAGUACCGGGAGAAUAAGCGCCGGCUAACUACGUG
rnacentral:rRNA from 1 species